GGGGAUUAGGGGUGGAGAAUAAACUGAAACCCAAAGGCCCAGAAAUAGAAAGGAACCUACCCAGAGUCACACAGCCAGUUACUAGACACUGUCAUCUGUCUCCCCUACAGAUCCAUUAUUGUAGGAGGGCAAGGACACUAUACAUUUCACUUUGUUCUCCGUUGCAGCCUCAGGGUUAUAAGAAUGCCUAGGAUAGUCUCAGCAAAUAUUUGUAGAUACGCUGCUGAACCAAUGAACAAAUGGGGCAGGGAAAGUCAGAAUCCUUGAAUCCUUGAGAAGGUCAGGGCAUUUUAGACAGUGGAGGAACUGCUCUCAGGAAAAUAAACUCCUGGAGAUGUUGACUUGGGGGCCUCAAGCCCCUCCAAACCCCAGCUUUCCCUGUGACAGAGACACUGCUGGCCACAGUCCCCCAGGCACCCCCUCAAACUGCAGCAAGCAGUGCUGCAUGGGGUUCAGAAGUUAAUCUUGGUAAAGUGCCUGGAAGAUGAGAGCCGUUCCCCAGACAUUCAGUGUGGUAAUUGCCAAUGCAGAGAAAAUGCAUCUCUCCAUUGGCAAGAAGCAGGACUUUGUGUUCCACAAAAACCAGCCAUUAGAAUUCCUGUCUCUGACUUGUCAGAUAGCUGUUUGGCCUCUGAUUCUGACAGUGUGGGCUUAGAGUUGUACUUCAUUUCACAAAUGUGGAAACCGAAGCUCAGGAUAUGGCUCAUUGAUCCCUCAAUACUUACUGAGCACCUGUGAUGGGCCAGUAACUCUUGCGGGAGCUGGAGAGUCAGUGAAAAAUGAAAUAAAAACACAUUCUAGUGGAGACAGAGGGAAUAAGCGAGUAAACAAGUAUAAUUCCACCAAGUUACGUAAGUGCUAGGAAGGAAAUAAAAGAAGAGGUGUGCUAAGGAGAGUGGGGCUGCUCAGGUAAGGAAGCCUGGGGAGGCUUGACGGAAGAGACAUUGAAACCAACAUCUGGACAGGGAGAAGCGGCUGAUCAUGAAGCAGCUGUCCAGGCAGAAAGUGCAAAAGUCCUGGGGUAGGAAUAAGCCUGAUGAGAUCACAGGACAGAAACCUACUGAGCAAAGGGGAAGGUGGUAGAGAAGAGGGCAGAGCUGGCAGGGCCUUGAAGACUGGCUGAAGCAGAGAGGUGACAGAAUCUAAGUUCUGAAUCAUUUACCUCUAUCACACUAGCCAUAAGGGACCUGAUAUGACAAAGCCCACAUCGGAGAGAUCCCUGGGACCUCUUCAGACCCACAGUCCCCACUGCCGCCUCCAGAGCAGGUCAGCCAAAAGGCAAGCAAAGUGAUGGAUUCUCCUGCUGGGAAAUAAAUCCAUCAGCUGGCUGGCUGCCGGGUGGGCACCGCAGUGCCUCGCAGGCAGCAUCCUAAUGCCACGAGGCAGGAGAGGGAG
ensembl:lncRNA